UACGUAGGGGGCAAGCGUUGUCCGGAUUUAUUGGGCGUAAAGAGCGUGUAGGCGGCCAGAUAAGUCCGCUGUGAAAUCUCGAGGCUCAACUUCGAGCUGUCGGUGGAAACUGUCUGGCUAGAGUCCGGAAGAGGAGAAUGGAAUUCCUGGUGUAGCGGUGAAAUGCGCAGAUAUCAGGAAGAACACCCGUGGCGAAGGCGGUUCUCUGGGACGGUACUGACGCUGAGACGCGAAAGCGUGGGUAGCAAACAGG
rnacentral:rRNA from 1 species